rnacentral:rRNA from 1 species
AGAGUUUGAUCAUGGCUCAGAUUGAACGCUGGCGGCGGGCCUAACACAUGCAAGUCGAGCGGUAACAGAGAUAGCUUGCUAUCUGCUGACGAGCGGCGGACGGGUGAGUAAUGCUUGGGAAUAUGCCUUUUGGUGGGGGACAACAGUUGGAAACGACUGCUAAUACCGCAUAACGUCUACGGACCAAAGUGGGGGACCUUCGGGCCUCACGCCAAGAGAUUAGCCCAAGUGGGAUUAGCUAGUUGGUGAGGUAAUGGCUCACCAAGGCAACGAUCCCUAGCUGGUUUGAGAGGAUGAUCAGCCACACUGGAACUGAGACACGGUCCAGACUCCUACGGGAGGCAGCAGUGGGGAAUAUUGCACAAUGGGCGCAAGCCUGAUGCAGCCAUGCCGCGUGUGUGAAGAAGGCCUUCGGGUUGUAAAGCACUUUCAGUCAGGAGGAAAGGUUAGUAGUUAAUAGCUACUAGCUGUGACGUUACUGACAGAAGAAGCACCGGCUAACUCCGUGCCAGCAGCCGCGGUAAU